UAUUCAGCUCAGCUAUUCAGCUCAGAGACUAAUUAUGGCCUAAUUUUGUAAUUUACUUAAUACUUUAAAUUUUAAACGUUUUAACGUUUAAUUGUUGCUACUGUAACUGCUGUUCCUGAAGAAAAACUACUUCAUCAUUUGCAACUACAGAAAAAGAAUAAAAGGGCAAUAUUGUGUUGGAUAAUGGAAACUCUGUCAUCUUUACACAACACAAAAGAAUGCAAGCUCACUGGGUAAAAGAAGUGCUUUGCUUGCAGCAUCCUGGCUGUCUGAAUUCCCCUCAUCUCUCUGAAGCAUCUAGAGAGACCCCUUUCAGAGGACAUCUGGAUGUCAGUGGCCCCAGUGGAUUAAUGGAUUACAGUGGGCUGUGUUUGCUCAGAUUUGGUAACAUUUUUCAAGGACAGAAGAUAAUAGGUCCCAGAUGCAGUCCUGGCUGUUUACAGUUAAUAGUACAAACAGACAUGAAGAGCAAUGGCUUCUGGAAUUCUUUUGAACUUCUUUGCACCAGUGACCAUCUGUUCCUGUAGGUGUGCACCAGGAAGCUUAGGACAGAUAGAAAAAAGAACUUUUGGUCAGCGAAGGAAAUUUAAUCCAUCCUUUCAUCAAAAGGAACAUUACAAAUUCUUCACCAUAAGAAAUGGACAGUUGCCAGAGAUCUUUUUAAAAUACAGUUUUCAACAAUACCUCAGAGGCAGAUAAUGAGGGCUGUAAGGCCUAUGAACUGGAGCUAUUUUGUGACUAAGAUACGUAUUUUCCUCACACACAGAAAAGAGUGAUCUUGUUCUUACCCUCUGUGGUUUGGAGAAAUUCACAUGAAGCCAUAACAUUGACAAUUUGGAAGACAAAGUCAAGGUUUUUAUGUGCAUUUUCUUCUAGUUGAUAUGGUUGUUAUAUAAACAACUAACAUAAAUAUAAGUGAAGAAGGAGGAAGAGGAAGGAAGAAGAGGAAAACUGUUAUCAAAAGCUUUUGGGACUACCAUUUGUUUCCAUAUCUGUGUGUCAUGACGAGAUCAGGCUCAGACAAGGAGACCAACAAUGAGCAAAGAGUUACCAGAUGAACCAUGCCUGAGGACCUGCAGGAACCGCUGCUGUCAGUCCCUGAAGAUGAGGACUCUGAGCUGCUGCCUCCACCCAGCACAAAGACUCGGGUGUGGAGAAGAGAACGAAGCAAAGAUGCUGUGCCAAACUGCUCACAAGAAAGGAGCCUCACCCUCCUAUAUGGAGCAACACUGGCACUGGUUCUGCUUAAGUAGAGCAGCAAACCCAAGUCUCUCCUUUGGAAUCAACUGUUCAUUCACCCAGACUCUGUGUGCCUCAAAGCUUGACUUUUAAAUCCUGUGACUUUCAUUCUGGACCUCAGAUUGACUGACGAUCCUUCUGUGACGCUUUGAUGCUUGGACCUCACUCUGUCUACUCUUUUGCCUGCUGCUUUGAGACUCUAUUAAGGCAAACUUGCUUGACUUUUGGAAUUUCUUUCCCACUUGUGUGGGCAUGUGCAUUGUGUUCAUGCUGUCCCUGCUGCUUGGUACUUGUUUUGAAAGACCAACAGUAAA